AACGAACGCUGGCGGCGGGCCUAACACAUGCAAGUCGUACGAGAAAGCCUUAGCUUGCUAGGGCGAGUAAAGUGGCGCACGGGUGAGUAACGCGUGGCUAAUCUACCUUUAGGUUUGGGAUAACGCACCGAAAGGUGCACUAAUACCGAAUAUGACCACAGUGUCUGCGGACGCAAGGGUUAAAGGGAGCCUCUACAUGUAAGCUUCUGCCUAUUGACGAGGCCGCGUCCCAUUAGCUAGUUGGUGAGGUAACGGCUCACCAAGGCUCCGAUGGGUAGCUGAUCUGAGAGGAUGAUCAGCCACACUGGAACUGGAACACGGUCCAGACUCCUACGGGAGGCAGCAGUGAGGAAUCUUGCGCAAUGGGGGAAACCCUGACGCAGCCACGCCGCGUGGGUGAAGAAGGUCUUCGGAUCGUAAAGCCCUGUCAGGUGGGAAGAAACGUAGCUAGGUUAAUAGCCUGUCUGCUUGACGGUACCACCAAAGGAAGCACCGGCUAACUCCGUGCCAGCAGCCGCCGUAAUAC
rnacentral:rRNA from 1 species